AUGAGCUUCUACAGCCUUCACGAGACGCUCCAUCAGGAGGUCGCCAAAUACCAAUCCAGGUUCUUCUGGGCAGGUGAGGGUGAUAAGCAGAAGUAUCAUAUGGUGAGCUGGCCUGACAUUUGCGAACCCAAGGACCAGGGUGGUCUUGGGAUCUUGUCCUACCGGCGCAUGAACAUUGCUCUCCUGACCCAUUGGCUCUGGCGUAUCACCAAUGGGGAGGGAGGCCUCUGGCUCACCAUUGUCCGGAAUAAAUACCUUGGGGGCCAGCCUUUAGCUUUCUGUCAGCGCUCCGGCGUCUCCCAGUUCUGGCAGUCCGUGAUCCAGCUUCUCCCCGUGCUACGUAUUGGCACGUCAAUCUCGGUUGGAUCUGGAUCCGCGACCCUGUUUUGGUUCGAUCGAUGGGUUGGCGACUCCCCCCCCGGCCGCGCGAUUCCCUGA
rnacentral:rRNA from 1 species